UUCAGACUAGAUUUAAUCCAAUUAUGCAACAUCUUGAUCCAGAUUUCAAACUAAAGGAAAAACCAACUGCUGAAUUGUGAAUGAAAAUUUAUUUGCCAUAAAAGAUGGGGGCUGCAGAGGGAAGCAGGGAAUAGUUGUCGAGAGGAUUCUUGUAAUUCUUCACGUGAAUGGAUUGACUCUUCCUACAUUUGUGGCAGAGAAGUGGAAUUAAAUCCUGGCCAAGGAAAAUCAGCCAAAUGCCAGCUGUUGGGGCACAGGGGAUGUGGAGGACGGGAGGCAGGCGACACAGUGAGAAUCCUGAGCUUCAGAGAGGAACCUGGCACAUCCCACAUCUAACAGCCCCAAAGUGACAGAAUAUGCAGAUCCCAGCC